rnacentral:lncRNA from 1 species
GAGAGUUAGAGUCAGAGGAAGAGAGAGAAAAAUUGGAAGAUGCUCCCCUGCUGGCUUUGAAGAUAGAGAAUGAGGCCAUCAGGCAAAGAAUGCAGACAGCCUCUAGGAGCUACAGGAAGCAAGGAAACAGACUCUCCCCCAGAACUUCCUGAAGGAACGCAGCUCCACCGACACCUUGGUUUUAGCCACUGAGACUGAUGUUGGACUUCAGACCUCCAGAAAUGUAAGAUUCUUCGUCUGAAAAAUGCAGAUGAUGAAAGUUCCCUCCUCAAAAGGUUUUUGGGAGAAUUAAGUGAAAUUUGAGUUUAAAGCACUUGGCAUGUGGCCAGCACUCUCCACAGCUGGGACUCUGUCAUCAGAAGCUGCUGGCCCCCACCCUGAGGCUUCCCACACUGGGGGCUUAUCCCUCUGCCUUCAGCUCUAGAUGAAGAGGACCAAGGAGGACUUCAACUGGCCUUGUGUAUCAUAUAGAGUACUUUUGGCUGCAAAUAACAGAAAACCCACCUGCAAGCAACUUAAUAAGGGGCUAUUCUUUUCAUGGAAGAAGAUGUCUAGAGGUGGGUGGUGGAUCGGUAGCCCAACGGUGCCACGGAUCUGGGCCCCUCGCUCAAGUGUCUGAUGCUGGCCACUGAACCAUAAGCAGAGCGACAUGUGCCGUUUCUGAACCAAAGCAUUUAAGAGCCUGCGUGUGAUCCUUCAGCCCCCUCUCUCCCCUCCUUCCUCUGCUGCUGUGAGCUUACAGCAAGGGCUUUAUGCUGAGAUGGUGAAGCCGUUCCAUGGGAACAGCCUGGAUCACUGAGUCCCCACGUGGAGGAC